rnacentral:lncRNA from 1 species
GAGAGGAAGAGAUCAACUGUCGGUUGUCGGCGGUUUGCGCUUCGGUGGCGGCUCAGGCUUUGGUUCGGGUUUGGGUUCUGGUUUAGGCAUCGGUUCAGGCUUGGGCUCGGGUUUUGGUUCAGGUUUAGGCAUGGGCUUAGGCAUGGGCUCAGGCUUUGGUUCUGGUUUAGGCAUUGGCUUAGGCUUGGGUUCGGGUUUUGGCUCUGGUUUGGGCAUUGGCUCAGGCUUGGGUUCUGGUUUAGGCAUGGGCUCAGGCUUUGGUUCCGGUUUAAUUGGCUCAGGCUUCGGUUCCGGCUUAGGCAUUGGCUCGGGCUUGGGCUCAGGUUUUGGCUCAGGUUUAGGCAUUGGCUCGGGUUUGGGCUCAGGUUUAGGCUCAGGUUUAGGCACUGGCUCAGGCUUAGGCUCGGGUUUAGGCUCAGGUUUAGGCACUGGCUUAGGCAUGGGCUCGGGUUUUGGUUCCGGUUUAGGCAUUGGCUCAGGUUUGGGCUCGGGUUUAGGCUCGGGUUUAGGCAUUGGCUUAGGCAUGGGCUCGGGUUUUGGUUCCGGUUUGGGCAUGGGCUCUGGUUUUGGCUCGGGUUUUGGCAUUGGCUUAGGCAUGGGCUCUGGUUUUGGUUCCGGUUUAGGCAUCGGCUCAGGUUUCGGCUCUGGUUUAGGCAUUGGUUUGGGCAUUGGUUCCGGCUUGGGCUCUGGCUUCGGCUCGGGCUUGGGCAUGGGUUCAGGUUUGGGCUCAGGUUUCGGUCCCGGUUUGGGCAUUGGUUCUGGCUUCGGCUCAGGUUUCGGUUCAGGUUUAGGCAUGGGUUCAGGUUUCGGUUCAGGUUUUGGCUCUGGUUUUGGCAUGGGCUUGGGCUCCGGUUUUGGCAUGGGUUUUGGUUCCGGCUUUG